rnacentral:tRNA from 1 species
GGGCUAUUAGCUCAGUGGUAGAGCGCGCCCCUGAUAAUGGGCGAGGUCUCUGGUUCAAGUCCAGGAUGGCCCAG